GCUAUACCACAAAUGAAAAUCUUUAGCUUCCUCAUGCAAUGGUAAUGGCCCCUUUCUCGGGAGGCUCACACGCCAACGAGUGAAAAAUAUUCCUGAAAUGAACUAGCUCCGCGCUAAACAGACGUAUGAUUCUAAUGUAUGAUCUCUCUAACGUAUUUUUUUUCUUCUGAAUGAACCGACUGAUUCGGAUCACAAUAUUAAAUCAAUAAAAAAUAUUUUUCAAUCAAAUAUUUCAUGUAACAUUUGUUUUCACAGGAUUUUUCAGGGAUGAAUGAAUUGUAUGGAGUUAGGAAGUCCAUUCUCCUCUCGCUGUUGCGAAGCGACGAGGUCGGGAAGGAUCUUUGCGGAGAGAAGAUAGACAAUGCAACUGACUGGAAACUGCCAUGCUCAUGCGAACGUCAAACGGCUAGACUGUGACGGAUGUCGAAAAAUCGUAUACUUACGCAUGUAUCGAUGAGACCGUAAAUCGACCGCCGAUAGAAUUGUCCAGAUAAGAGCUAUACGUGCAAUUUAAUUUUUUUAUUACGAUGCCAGGACGGCACCCAAGAUCUAUUAUAAAAAUUGACGAGUAUUCUACGAGUUUACACUUUACAAAUUAACGGCAGAGAAACAAGAGGCGCGGCGAAAAUGAAUACCGAGGGAUUUUCCACAAUUGGACCCUUGCUUACCUUGGUGAUCGGUCCAGCAUUGGUGGAGGACAUUUGCGUACGUUGAAGCGUCGAGGUCGGACUCGGCUUGGACCGGAAGGCCGUCAUAGUCUGGCUAACACCGUCCGCCAGUAUAAAUUGUUCCCGCAGCUCGAUAUUCGUUCUUCCCUUGGCUACAGUGUGUUGCGUGCACGCAGUUAAGGAAAAGGCGUUUCGGGGAUGCAGGGUACGAGAGGAAGUGUGCCAGAGAGAUGUUAUUUUGUACAAGAAAACAGUCCGGAGACAGAAAGAACGGGAACGCGGAUGAGAUGAAAUAACGAACGCGAGAAUGAUAUGUUAGUUUAACGAAAAAAAAAAUAAAUAAAUAAAUAAAAGCGAAAACGAACGUGUAAAUAUCGGAACGGCAACAUCCGGAACGAGAGUCAUGAGUUAUAUGGAGCGAAAGGUGUAACGAUGUAUAUAUAUAUAUAUAUAUAUAUAUUUUUACAGGUUUACAAUAUCAAGGCAUGCGCGUCAAUGAGCAGUGGCAAUAAUGGAUAGGAGAAAUAGUUUUAAGAGAGAAGAGAGAAAAAAAGGCGACAAAAAUAUUUCACGGUAUGCGUGCGUGUAUUUUGAAUACAUGUAUGCAUGAGUGCGUGUGUAUGGUAUAUUCAAGUGUGUGUGGUUGUGUCAUGGAAAAAAAAGAAAAGACA